UAUUCUGCCCCACGGGGAAGGAUGAGAAGCUUCGACUAAGGUUCGACUCGAGCGAAGCGAGAGAACGUUGCCGCAGGCAAAGGCCCGAAGGGCGAGGAGCGAUAGCGACGAGUUAUCCUUCCCCCACCACCA
rnacentral:sRNA from 1 species